AUGAAGAACUCACUUAUAUUCAGUCUUUGUCUGAAUUUCACUGCCAGUUCUAAUAAGAGUUUACUUGUUGACAUUUUAGGUUUAAAAAGCCCAACAAGCUGGGUGAAUGAAUUCAGAGGUAACAUAUUUUCUGACUGCAUGUGUGAGCGUGCAUGCAUAUAUGUCUUAAGUAGUAGAAGAGCACCAAUAAGACAUCUUCAGUUUUACUUAACGCUUUUUAAUACAGAGGUUGCUCCUUUCCAUGUCAGCUGGAAGGUAAAUUAGAAGCCACUAAAAUAAAUGGGAAUUCUGGUGAAGUGUACA
rnacentral:lncRNA from 1 species